rnacentral:lncRNA from 1 species
UAAAAGGUCAACAGCACAGAAAGAAUGGAAGAACCAGAACAGUAUGAAUGAUUUCAAAAAAUUGGAGGAAUAUUAACUAAAGUUGCUAUGCACUUUCACAGCAGGCAAAUAUCAUGGUUUUGCCAGUAAUCUGUGCUUUAGAUUGCAAUAAAUUGUUCCUGUUUUUCUUUCCAUUGUAGAAGACACUAACUUGGCUUCGUGAAACCAGGCAUGCAUGUCAUCUCCCACCUCAUUUUCUUUUGAGUGUAGGAAGGGAAAUAUAAUACAAACUCUUCUGGUGCACAAUAAUCUAUUUUACAGUUGCAAGAAAGAAAACCAUACCAGAAAAGCUGGCAAUGUAGUAUUCAGAUUUCUUCACAUCAUUUCUGUUCUUUACUCCAUUCUUUUCUUUACUGUCAUUAUCGUUCAUUCAAAGGGAAAUCUAUGUAUGCAGGAACACAGCAGAAAUACUUAGUAAUACGAUCUCACAGACAGGAGGUUAACAAUCAUUACUUUGAAGGAAACGGUAGGCUUUCUGCAGAUAGAUGUGAUGCCAGUAAACAUAGGACACAUUUGACUGGCCCAAAACAUAGGACAAUUAUUUAAGAAGUGGUUUUCUAAAUGGGAAGUGAACAGUUCCAACUUGGUUUCUAUUUUUUAUGUCCUUUAUUGACACCUUGACACGAGGUUACAAAGGAUUUCUCUGUGCAGUUCUCAAAUCUAUACUUGCAAUCUGACCUCUCGCUAUUUUCAACUGCCUUUUGGAUAUCCCCACUUAGAGGCUGUACAGACACUGCAGACUCGGUGUACCCAAACUGAAUUCCUUAUCAUUUCCCCAAUCCUGGUUCCCCUUCUACAUUCUCUGGUGAAGUUCCAGGCAUUAACAUUUAUCCAGUUCCCUAAGCUAGAUGUCGCUGGUGUUUUAAACCUCUCCCUCUGGUGUUGUCCACAUUCAAUCAAUUGGAUGCUGUUGAGUCUAACCGUAAUUUGUUUCUGGACUCUAUUCCUUCCUCUUCAUUCUCACAGCCAUUAAUUUAGUUCAGUCCCUCUUCUGUACUUUUACAAUGGCCUCCUAAUGGUCUCUUAAUAGGUCCCUCUGCUUCUAAUCUCCUCCAUAUUCUAUCUAUCCUUUAUGUGCUAAGCAGAGUUUUAUUUUGAAAAAACAAAUCUGGAUCAAAUUCCUUUCUUCCUUAAAAACCCCAAAAGACUGCUGAGAGCCUAAGGGAUCAAGUAUAAACUCUUCAGAAUGCCACACAAGUCUCGCAGUCUGUCCCUAAUGGAUCCUUCCAGCCUCACUGUUAGGACACCUCAUGUACUCUGUGUUUCUGCCUGUAAAAUCAAAUCAAACUAUCAGCUAGUUCUAGAGGUUCUUAACCAAGAGUACACAACAUAAUCACCUGGGGAGUUUUUUAAAAAUAAAAUACAAGUGCCCUUUGUCUACCUUGGAUGGACAAAUUCAGAACUGGAUAAAUGAAUUGCAAUAACUGUAUUUUAACCAGGUCACCAGGUGAUGGGGAAAUACACAGGCCUUGUUUAGGCAUUUGUUUAUGCUGUUCCUUCUGCCUAGAAUGGCUUCUUUUCUCCAUCCCCUAUCCUCAAUUCUCUACUUGGCUAUCUCCUUCUCAUUUUUCAAGGUUUAGCUCAAUAUCACCUCCUCUGUGAAGCCUUCCAGGAUAUACAGAGGCAAAAUGAAUUGCUCUCUGGUGCCUGUUGUUGUAGUAAUAGACUGCUAUUAUCAUCAUUUAUUGCUGUGAAUGCUCCUCCUUUUUUUUGUUGCAUUCUCCUGUGGGAAAGCAAACUCCUUGCAUUUCUUUAUAUUCCGA